ACGUUAGUAUAUAUACUUAUUUUUGUCCUUAAUUUGUUUUAGCCUCAUAUUCCUUGAGUAAUUUAUUUUAGACUAACCAAUUGUGAUUAUAUGUUGCAGCGGUUACUGACAUCGAUACGAGUGGCAUCCAUGCCUUUGAAGAGUUGCAUAGAAGUCUUGAAAAAAGAGGUGUUCAGGUAACAAAAUUAAUCAUAUCAGCUAGGAUUUAUCAUUUAUGUAUAUGAAGAAGCUUGGUUCAUUUAUAUACUAUAUGAUAUAAAUCAUGAUACUAUAUGAUAGGAAAAGUUAAUAUGUUAAUUCUUACCAAGAAUGUGUUACUUGUUUGAGCAGCUUGUUCUGGCAAAUCCUGGUUCAGCAGUGACAGACAAACUUUACACAUCAAAUUUUGCUAACAUAAUUGGUCAGGACAACAUUUUCCUCACUGUUGCAGCAGCUGUUGCAAAUUGUGC
rnacentral:lncRNA from 1 species